rnacentral:lncRNA from 1 species
CAAUAAUACGCUCAAGAUAAACCUGGGUUCUUCUGUUACUCUGUGGUUCCAAAAGGCAUGAUGAGAAGAAGAUACACUUCUAUGAUAAAAUGAAGGAUUGAGCAUUCUGAUUCCAGGGUAAGAAGCCAUUAUUCCUCCCGCCUUUCACUGGAAAGAUGCAGUCAGUCAGUCAACAUCCACAAGAACCCUGCUACAGUCUUUGGGAUGGCUCAAGUGACCAGAGGGCUCUGGAAAGUCAUCUCUGUGCCACAAACUGGGCCAGGUUUCACUCAAUUCAAAGGUUCUGAAUCUAGACCCAGUGAAGGACUUAACAGUGUGUGGAGGUGGCCUGUGGACCAGCCAAACAAAGUGCCAAGAUCGUACCACAAGAUAAGCUGCCCUCCCUCUGUAAGCAAGUAAGGGCCCAAAGGCCAUCAAUUGAGUUACGGUGUGACUGUAAGAUAAUCGGUAGAAGAAAGAUUAUGGAAUAGUACACGAAAAUUCCUCACUAUUCUUACAACAACAACAAUUAUUUAAAUAAUAAGGUGAGGAAGUUCCUUUUGAAUACCUGGGGAAUUGUAACUAUAAAUUAAAGUUAAGUGAUGCUUAUUAAGGCUUUCAGGAUAGGUGCUUUAAAAUGUAAAUAGUUUAGGGCAAAACAAUCUCAUCCAUCUGGGGCCUUCAACUCUUUAGAACAGGUGUGAGAACCCUAAAGACAGAGGGACCAGAGAGUCUGCUUACUUUACCCACAAUUGUAACAGGUUAGUUAUAUAGUUUUCUAUAGCUGCCAAGGAGGUUGGGGGAGGGGGAAAAGGGGAGAAGGAAAGCAAAUGACAGUAAGAAAAAGGUAUCGCUGACAAUGAAGAGCCUGGGAUGAUUGUGGGUCUGCAAAUAUCAUUAUAUUACAGCAUAGUAAUUGAUGUUCAUAAUGAUGACUACUACUCAUCAAGAAAAGGUUAAAUUACAUUUUGAAUACUCAGCUUUAGAAAGCAGAGAAGUGUGUAAUAGAUUUUAGCAAGGUUUCUAUCUAAAGUGGUUAAAACAAAAUAAAAAAAGCUAGUGCUUAAAGGACA